UGGCAGCUGGCCACCCUCCUCCCCCCACCUGAAGCAGGACUGCCUGGGUCUGUGCCAAGGAGGAACCGGGGAAGGGCAGCCUCUGGGACCGUGAGAAAUGAGCCACUUCAUAGCCGCCGAGAGGGGGUUUUAUGGGGGGGCUGAGCGGGGGUCUCUUUGGUGGGAGGAGGGAAAAGGCCUUCGCCUGGCAGAGCCCUUCCUGAGUUGAGGGGGGGUUUCAUUUCCCCCUUGCUCUUCGCUUCACUUUCAGGACUUGUGGGAGCUUCAUCACUGGAGGCUUUCAAGAAGAGACUGGACUGCCAUCUGUCAGAAAUGGUGUAGGGUCUCAUGCGGGGGGGGGGGGUUGGACUAGAUGACCUACAAGGUCCCUUCCGACUCUUAAUCUGUAAGUAAGCAAGCUCCCCAAACAAAUGGCAGAGAUGGAGUCGAUCAAAACCCACCCCGAAGACGUACAGAGACACCAAGCGAUUAAA